rnacentral:rRNA from 1 species
UACGGGGGGAGCAAGCGUUGUUCGGAUUUACUGGGCGUAAAGGGCGCGUAGGCGGCCAGCACAAGUCAGUUGUGAAAUCUCCGAGCUUAACUCGGAAAGGUCAACUGAUACUGUGCGGCUAGAGUGCAGAAGGGGCAACUGGAAUUCUUGGUGUAGCGGUGAAAUGCGCAGAUAUCAGGAGGAACACCGAUGGCGAAGGCAGCUCGCUGGGACGGUACUGACGCUGAGGCGCGAAAGCGUGGGGAGCAAACAGG